rnacentral:lncRNA from 1 species
AUGGCAUCAUGAGAAAGACUCCACGGGCCGUUGCUGGCUUUGAAGAUGGAGGAAGGAGGCCAUGAGCAGGUGGCUGCAGGUAGCAUCUAGAAGCUGAAAACAAAUUGUCCCCCAGAGGCUCCAGGAGAAACACAGCCCUGCCAACGCCUUGAUUUUACCCCUAUGAGACCUAUGCAGACGUCUGACCUUCAGAAGGGUUUAUAUACUGAGAAGGGAGUCUCCCAGGAGAAAAUCCGGAGGAGAGAAGAGGAGUUCAUAGCCCCAAACAUUUUUCAUCAUCAUUGCAGUAGGGCGUCAAUCUGCCAUCUGUAAACCCAGACUGUAAAGUGGACCUAGCUGUCUUUAUUGUUUCUGAUUUGAAUUAAUUUCUGGCUGAAACCUACAUUCCACUGACUGUUGGGAAAUGUUACCAUUGGGUUCCUUCCCUUACCUCCGUGAUGUGCCAUAGUUCUGGGAUCCUACAAAGUGCUGACCUGUCUAGAUUGGAAUGUCCAGGUGACCACUGAGGCAUCUACUGUCCAGGUCCACGUGGGGCCGUGGUCUGGUGGGUCUCUGCUGCUUGUGUCCCACACUUGAGGCACAGAAUUCUUUGACUAGGCUGCCUGGCCCUUCUGCCUGGAUGCACCAUGCACCACUCCUCUGGGGUCCUGCUGCCCCCCAGUACUCCCCACCGCCUGGUCUCUGCCAUGCCUGGACGCACAGUCCUCUUUCCUCUCCUCCUAAGCUGGAAGGAGCCAUCUUUUCCCAGGAUGGGAGUGAAACUCCAAACUCAACUUGGCUCCUUCAAGAUAUCCCGUUUCUAUCAGCAAGGCCUGUUCUCCCUCUUAACUCUUCCCAGACCCCGAGGAAUCACUUGCGGGAGACAAAAGCCAGAAGGACUGUGGAUGACUUCUGCCUUUCAGCCUGCUCCCACCUCGUGAGGCAAGAAGCACGCAAGAGACGGUCAGCUUGCAUGAAGGGAGGAGAAAAUAGAGGAAAAACUUAAUACCUCAAAAUACGGUCUAGCCACACGAGAGAUUUCAGAACACCGAGUGGAAGGCAUCAGGGAAUUCAUAGUUCCGUCAGAGAGAAGGUGCAAAUUCUGAAGUACUUGGCAUUUACAAAUGGAUUGUUUCAAACCCACACUGGUCAAUCAAUUGUUUGGAAUUUGAAAUGUAUUUUUUUUUUUUUCAAAAAAAUGUUAUAAACACUGGUUUGCUUUCCAGGCAAGCCCAGAGAUACUAUGGUGAAAACAAAACUUUUUAUUUCUCUUAAUACCAUUGGAACAGAGAAGAAAUGCUAACAAAGUCAUAGCUUCAAUCAUAUUUGUUUAGUUUUGUUUGAGAUCUGAAGAAAUAGUUUGGAUUUUUCAAAGGUUUUAGACGCUUAGGGAAUCAGCUGCUUGUGUUAUGUCCAUUUUUACUUCCUUCUUUCUUCUUGAUACUAUAGUCAGUGCCAAUAAUGUUGGGGAUGUCAGCUACAAUCAUAGGCAAGGGAGACAGGGCUCAAAAACACCAGAAACAGAAUGGGAAAAUUUUGAGAGAAACUGAGGUAUCUUACAGGAAAUUAAAGAGAAACGGGAAGGAGAAAAGGAGUCAAAGUGAAGGGUGUGCUUGUGAUAAGGAGGUUCCUCGAGGUGUAGUUAAUGGACUUGAGAAAUGAGGAAGACGUGCAGAAUCACUCCAAGGAGGAGGCAGGAGAGAAGUGUGCAGAAAUCAAAACCCAAACGCCUUCAGGGCCCAGACAGGUACAGGAAAGGAGCAGGCUGGGGAUGAAAGAAAGGGAAAUAGUGGGGAGCGUGGCAAACCAGAGUUCAGGAAAUUCUAAUUUGAUUUUUUGUAAAACAUCAGUGUGAGCCUAACCAAAUACCGCUGCAAGCUGAGUUGUAUCUGUUGGCCACCUUUCAGAAUCUUUGGCAAAGAGAUUAAAAGCAGGAGAUCUGGAGUCAGACUGCCUGGGUUCAUCACCUGCUUCACCACUUAGUGGUCUGUGACCUCACUUUCCUCGUCUGUAUACCGAUUUUUCUGACUUCAUAGGAUUGUUGUGAAGUAUGACAACAUAGGUGAGAGGCUGGCCCCAUGGCUGAACGGUUAAGUUCUCGUGCUCCAUUUCAGCGGCCCAGGGUUUCGCCGGUUCGGAUCCUGGGCACAGACAUGGCACCGUUCAUCAGGCCAUGUUGAGGUGGCGUCCCACAUAGCACAGCCAGAAGGACCUACAGCUAGAUUAUACAACUAUGUGCUGGGCGGCUUUGGGGAGAUGAAGAAAAAGGAUUGGCAACAGAUGUUAGCUCAGGUGCCAAUCUUUGGGGAAAAAAAAAAAAGGAAACUUAAAAAAAAAGAAGAUAACACGGGUGAAGUGCUUUGCACAGGGCACAGUAAGCCUCCAAUAAAUGCUCAGUAAGCAUCCACUAGAACAUAAUCCCCUGGACAGUCUGUUUGUUGCUGGAUCCCCAAUGCCUACAAUAGUGCCUGGCACAUAGUAGGUACUCACUAAAUAUUUGUUAGAUGACUGAAUAGAUGGGCGAAGGGAAAAGAAGGCAAUUAUAGGGAAGAGAUGCAGGGUCAUAAGAGUUCUCCACACUGACCGUGAGACAGCUCAGGUUAGAGGGGUUGCUGAGCUAUGUUUUAAGGAGUAUAGAGUAUCAUCUCCCGAACUCAAAAACUUUUAGAACUAGAAGGCAAUGAGUCUUUCUUCUGGUCUUUGAUGGUUAAUUUUAUAUGUCAACUCAACCAAGACUCGGGAUGCCUAGAUAUCUUAUGAAACAGUAUUUCUGAGUGUGUUCACAGAGGGUGUUUCUGGAGAGAUUCGCAUUUCAAUCAGUAGACUGAGUAAAGAAGAUUGCCCUCCCCACUGUGGGGGGCAUCGUCCUAUCUGUCGAGGGCCUGAAUAGAACAAAAAUGUGAAGAAGGUUGAAUUUGCUCUCUGCUUGACUGCGUGAGCUGCAACAUCAACCUUCUCCCGCCCUCAGUGCUCCUUCUCAGGCCUGUAGAUGAAGACUGGAACCCACACCAUCAGCUCUCUGGCUCUCAAGCCUUCGAACUACAUCACCAGCUUUCCUGGGUCUCCAGCUUGCAGAUGGCAACUGGUGGGCUUCUCAGCAUCCAUAGUCAUGUGAGCCAAUACCUCAUAACGCGUCUUCCCAAAUUUUUAUAUAUUUUGUAUGCACACCCACACAUCCUACUGGUUGUGUUUCUCUGGAGAACCCUGACUAAUACGCUGUCUGACCCUUUCGUUUAACACAUCAGGAAACCAAGAUACAAAGAGACUAAGCCAGGUGUGCAAACCAGGUAGCCAUAAACAAGAAAGUCACUGUUUUGGUAUGUUUGUGUACAUGUGAUUUCGCAAGAGAGAAAUGCAAAUCAAAACCACGAUGAGAUAUCACCUCACCCCUCUUGAAUGGCUGUUAUCAGAAAUAUAAGAAGUAAGUGUUGUUGAGGAUGUGGAGAAAAGGCAACCUGCAAGCACUGUUGCUGGGAAUGCAAAUUGGUGCAGCCACUGUGGAAAACACUAUGGAGCUUCCUCAAAAAAUUAAAAAUUGAAAUACCGUAUGAUCCUGCAAUUCUACUUCUGGGUAUUUAUCUGAAGAAAAUGAGAACACCAACUUGAAAAGAUAUACGCACCCACAUGUUCACUGCAGCAUUAUUUACAACAGCCAAGACAUGGAAACAACCUAAGUAUCCAUUGAUGGAUAUAUACAUACCCACACACACACUGCAAUAUUAUUCAGCCGUAUGAAAUCUUGCCAUUUGCAACAACAUGAACGGACCUCGAGGGCAUUAUGCUAAGUGAAAUAAGUCAGAGAAAGACAAAUACCAUAUAAUCCCUCUCAUACAUGGAAUUUAAAGAAACUAAAAAAAACAACAAACAAGCUCAUAGAUACAGAGAACAGAUUGG